UUCUCUUCAACAGGUCCGAAAAGAAAAACUUGGGGACAGAAUCACCGCCCUACAGCAGUUGGUUUCACCUUUCGGAAAGACUGACACUGCAUCCGUGCUCCACGAAGCUAUCGAGUACAUCAAGUUUCUCCAUGAUCAAGUCAAUUCAUUAAGCACGCCAUACUUGAAAUAUGGAUCUCCAUCG